GGAAAAAGCUCUUGCUGCUGGGAUUCUCCACUCUUCUCUUCCUGAACUAAGAGGUUUGAUGACAAGUGUAAUGGAAUCAAAUAGUUCUGAAUGGCGUCAUAUGCAAUCAAUUGAGACGUUUGGUAGAGGUGGUCCAGCACCGGGGAUUGGUGUAGGCUGGGGUGCCCCUGGUGGGGGAUUUUGGUCUAAAAAUAUUUUAUCAGCACAAGUAGCUGCACGAUUAUUCAUUUACUUGCUUGAUGUGCUUCCCAUUGAAUCUGUGGAAGAUCAGUUUACAGCUGAAGGAAUGAACUCUAUAAUACAAAAAAUAAAUUCUGUCAUGGGAGCAUGUUUAUUGCUGGGGCCAAUGGAUAGUUCUGCUGUAGAUAAGCUGCUUGAUUUCUUGUUUCAAGUUCCCACUCUAAAGUACAUUGAUUUCAGUAUCCGCCAUUUUCUUAAUCUUAAUCAAGGUUUUCAGUCUUUCAAGUUGGUGUAUCAAGAAGAGGACUAUUUACUGUUGAGUGAUGUCUUAGCUUCUCACUUUAAGAAGAAAUGGUUGUGUGUAAAACAGAAGCGUAAAUCUGC
rnacentral:misc_RNA from 1 species